rnacentral:rRNA from 1 species
AAAAGAAACUAACAAGGAUUCCCCUAGUAACGGCGAGUGAAGAGGGAAGAGCUCAAAUUUUAAAUCUGCCUUGUUUCAAGGUCGAGUUGUAAUUUGAAGAAGCGUUUUCUUGGGCUCGCGGCCGGUAGAAGUUCUUUGGAACAGGACAUCAUAGAGGGUGACAAUCCCGUCUGCGACCGGUCGUGCGUUCAUCUACGAUACGCUUUCAAAGAGUCGAGUUGUUUGGGAUUGCAGCUCCAAAUGGGUGGUAAACAUCACCUAAGGCUAAAUAUUGGCGAGAGACCGACNGCGAACAAGUACCGUGAGGGAAAGAUGAAAAGAACUUUGAAAAGAGAGUAAACGCUACGUGAAAGUGUUGAAAGGGAAACGAUUGAGCUCAGUCGUGCUGGCGCGAAAUCGACCCUCUCGUCUUGAGAUCACAUGGCGCGACGAGCCUCAAAACCGUCACGAAGCGUGAACUCUUGNCGAGGGGGAGCACUUUCGUGUCCGCUGGUUAACAUCAAUUUCGAACGUCAUAAAAAGGCUGGAGGGAUGUGGCUCCUUCGGGAGUGUUAUAACCUUUAGCGGAAUGUGGUGGUCGGGAUUGAGGAUUGCAACGAAUACCUUUAGGGCUGUUCCACCUGGCCUCUCUUUGGUAUCCUGGUGACGACAGCUUGCUGACGUUGUUAGGAUUCGCCUUUGAACAGGCUAGAGUGUGAGCAAAUUCGUUAAGGAUGUUAACGUAAUGGCUUUAAACGACCCGUCUUGAAACACGGACCAAGGAGUCUAGCAUAUAUGCGAGUGUUUGAGUGUUGAAACUCGAGCGCGAAAUGAAAGUGAUAUUGGUAAGAUCCUCUUCCCCUCGGGGGAGCGGAGCAUUAUCGACCGAUCUGGUAUUCUUUGAUAGAUU